rnacentral:rRNA from 1 species
GUUAAGUUAGAAAGGGCGCACGGUGGAUGCCUUGGCACUAGGAGCCGAUGAAGGACGGUACUAACACCGAUAUGCUUCGGGGAGCUGUAAGUAAGCUUUGAUCCGGAGAUUUCCGAAUGGGGGAACCCACCAUCCGUAAUGGGAUGGUAUCCUUAUCUGAAUUCAUAGGGUAAGGAAGGCACACCCGGGGAACUGAAACAUCUAAGUACCCGGAGGAAGAGAAAGCAAACGCGAUUCCCUAAGUAGCGGCGAGCGAACCGGGAUUAGCCCAAACCAAGAGGCUUGCCUCUUGGGGUUGUAGGACACUCUAUACGGAGUUACAAAGGAACGGAGUAAAUGAAGUGGUCUGGAAAGGCCCGUCAGAGAAGGUAACAACCCUGUAGUUGAAACUUCGUUCCCUCUUGAGUGGAUCCUGAGUACGGCGGGACACGAGAAAUCCCGUCGGAAGCAGGGAGGACCAUCUCCCAAGGCUAAAUACUCCCUAGUGACCGAUAGUGAACCAGUACCGUGAGGGAAAGGUGAAAAGCACCCCGGAAGGGGAGUGAAAUAGUUCCUGAAACCGUGUGCCUACAAGUAGUCAGAGCCCAUUUACGGGUGAUGGCGUGCCUUUUGUAGAAUGAACCGGCGAGUUACGAUCCCAUGCAAGGUUAAGUUGAAGAGACGGAGCCGUAGCGAAAGCGAGUCUGAAUAGGGCGUUUUAAGUAUGUGGUCGUAGACCCGAAACCAGGUGAUCUACCCAUGUCCAGGGUGAAGUCCAGGUAACACUGGAUGGAGGCCCGAACCCACGCACGUUGAAAAGUGCGGGGAUGAGGUGUGGGUAGCGGAGAAAUUCCAAUCGAACUUGGAGAUAGCUGGUUCUCUCCGAAAUAGCUUUAGGGCUAGCCUCGAGUUAGGAGAGUCUUGGAGGUAGAGCACUGUUUGGACUAGGGGCCCCCAUCGGGUUACCGAAUUCAGACAAACUCCGAAUGCCAAAGACUUAUUCUCGGGAGUCAGACUGCGAGUGAUAAGAUCCGUAGUCAAAAGGGAAACAGCCCAGACCACCAGCUAAGGUCCCAAAGUAUACGUUAAGUGGAAAAGGAUGUGGAGUUGCUUAGACAACCAGGAUGUUGGCUUAGAAGCAGCCACCAUUUAAAGAGUGCGUAAUAGCUCACUGGUCGAGUGACUCCGCGCCGAAAAUGUACCGGGGCUAAACGUAUCACCGAAGCUGUGGAUAUUAGAGGUGAGAAGUGAGACGUGAGAUGUGGGAUUGAAAGUGAUCUCAGGAUGUUAGUUGCUCCUUCGGAGCAUAUAAAGGGAGGUUUUCUCAUCUCUCACAUCUGACCUCUCACCUCUAGUAUGGUAGGAGAGCGUUCUAAGGGCUUUGAAGCUAGACCGUAAGGACUGGUGGAGCGCUUAGAAGUGAGAAUGCCGGUAUGAGUAGCGAAAGAUGAGUGAGAAUCUCAUCCACCGAAUGCCUAAGGUUUCCUGAGGAAGGCUCGUCCUCUCAGGGUUAGUCGGGACCUAAGCCGAGGCCGAAAGGCGUAGGCGAUGGACAACAGGUUGAUAUUCCUGUACCACCUCUUUAUCGUUUGAGUGAUGGGGGGACGCAGGAGGAUAGGGUAAGCGCGCUGUUGGAUUAGCGCGUCCAAGCAGUUAGGCUGGAAAGUAGGAAAAUCCGCUUUCCGCAUAAGGCUGAGCUGUGACGGCGAGGGAAAUAUAGUACCGAAGUUCCUGAUUCCACACUGCCAAGAAAAGCCUCUAGCGAUGAUAAUGGGUGCCCGUACCGCAAACCGACACAGGUAGGCGAGGAGAGAAUCCUAAGGUGAGCGAGAGAACUCUCGUUAAGGAACUCGGCAAAAUGACCCCGUAACUUCGGGAGAAGGGGUGCUCUUUGGGGUGAAUAGCCUCGAAGAGCCGCAGUGAAUAGGCCCAGGCGACUGUUUAGCAAAAACACAGGUCUCUGCGAAGCCGCAAGGCGAAGUAUAGGGGCUGACGCCUGCCCGGUGCUGGAAGGUUAAGAGGAGGGGUUAGCGUAAGCGAAGCUCUGAAUUGAAGCCCCAGUAAACGGCGGCCGUAACUAUAACGGUCCUAAGGUAGCGAAAUUCCUUGUCGGGUAAGUUCCGACCCGCACGAAAGGCGUAACGAUCUGGGCACUGUCUCAACGAGAGACUCGGUGAAAUUAUAGUACCUGUGAAGAUGCAGGUUACCCGCGACAGGACGGAAAGACCCCGUGGAGCUUUACUGUAGCCUGAUAUUGAAUUUUGGUACAGCUUGUACAGGAUAGGUAGGAGCCUGAGAAGCCGGAGCGCCAGCUUCGGUGGAGGCGUCGGUGGGAUACUACCCUGGCUGUAUUGAAAUUCUAACCCGCACCCCUUAUCGGGGUGGGAGACAGUGUCAGGUGGGCAGUUUGACUGGGGCGGUCGCCUCCUAAAGAGUAACGGAGGCGCCCAAAGGUUCCCUCAGAAUGGUUGGAAAUCAUUCGUAGAGUGUAAAGGCACAAGGGAGCUUGACUGCGAGACCUACAAGUCGAGCAGGGACGAAAGUCGGGCUUAGUGAUCCGGUGGUUCCGCAUGGAAGGGCCAUCGCUCAACGGAUAAAAGCUACCCCGGGGAUAACAGGCUUAUCUCCCCCAAGAGUCCACAUCGACGGGGAGGUUUGGCACCUCGAUGUCGGCUCAUCGCAUCCUGGGGCUGUAGUCGGUCCCAAGGGUUGGGCUGUUCGCCCAUUAAAGCGGUACGCGAGCUGGGUUCAGAACGUCGUGAGACAGUUCGGUCCCUAUCCGUCGUGGGCGUAGGAAAUUUGAGAGGAGCUGUCCUUAGUACGAGAGGACCGGGAUGGACGCACCGCUGGUGUACCAGUUGUCUUGCCAAAGGCAUAGCUGGGUAGCUAUGUGCGGAAGGGAUAAGUGCUGAAAGCAUCUAAGCAUGAAGCCCCCCUCAAGAUGAGAUUUCCCAUAGCGUAAGCUAGUAAGAUCCCUGAAAGAUGAUCAGGUAGAUAGGUUUGAGGUGGAAGCGUGGCGACACGUGGAGCUGACAAAUACUAAUCGAUCGAGGACUUAA